rnacentral:rRNA from 1 species
UACAGAGGUCCCGAGCGUUGUUCGGAUUCACUGGGCGUAAAGGGUGCGUAGGUGGCAUGGCCAGUUUGAUGUGAAAGCUCAGGGCUUAACCCUGAAAUGGCAUUGAAUACUGCUGUGCUGGAGGUUUGGAGGGGGGGACUGGAAUUCUUGGUGUAGCAGUGAAAUGCGUAGAUAUCAAGAGGACACCAGUGGCGAAGGCGAGUCCCUGGACAACACCUGACACUGAGGCACGAAAGCUAGGGGAGCAAACGGG